rnacentral:rRNA from 1 species
UCCACGCCCUAAACGAUGUCAACUAGCCGUUGGAUCCAUUUAAGGAUUUAGUGGUGCAGCUAACGCAUUAAGUUGACCGCUUGGGGAGUACGCACGCAAGUGUAAAACUCAAAGGAAUUGACGGGGGCCCGCACAAGCGGUGGAGCAUGUGGUUUAAUUCGAUGCAACGCGAAGAACCCUACCAUCCCUUGACAUCCAGAGAAUCUGUUAGAGAUAACAGAGUGCCUUCGGGA